UAAACAUUAACCUUAAACCCUAAAUUAACCAUUCAAUACAUAUAAAGUAUAUUCAUAUUUAAAAUAAUUUAAACUACACUCAUAAUUUCAAUAUAUUUAAUUUAUUAUUAUCUCUUUUAGAACUAUAUAAGAACAUAUUUAAAAUAUAAAUUAAAAAAAAAUUACUCUAAACUCAAAACCCUAACUCGGCCCCUAAAUCCCUAAAUCCUAAAUCUCUAACUCUUAACCCAUAACGUCUAACCCCUAAACCCAUAACCCCUAAACAUUAAAUCCCAACCCUUAAACCAUAAUCCCUAAAUUCAUACUCCCUAAACCUUAAAAUGUAAACUCCUAAACCGGUCUUAAAUCUUAAAUUAAUCAUAUACCUUAAACUAAAAACCCUAAACAAAUUUAUUAUUAUCUCUUUUACAAUUAUAUAAGAACAUAUUUAAAAUAUAAAUUAAAAAAAUUAAUCUAAACCCAAAACCCUAACCCAACCCUUGAAUCCCUAAACCCUAAACCCCUAACUCUUAACCCCUAACGUCUAACCCCUUAACCCUUACCCCUAAACCUUAAAUCCCAACCCAUAAACCAUAAUCCCUAAUCCGUAAUCCCUAAACCCAUACUCCUUAAACCUUAAAAUAGUACCCCCUAAAUCGAC
rnacentral:lncRNA from 1 species